UUUUUCAAAGAGAUGUGAAACACCCGAUCCCCUUCCGAUCUCGAAAAGUGAAACCAUUUCUUUCCACAUGUACUGCAUCUCGCGGGAGACGUGGUAUAAGUAAAGAAAUUCUAAAGCAGCUAGCUGCUGCGCCU
rnacentral:rRNA from 1 species